AGCACUAUAUUUAAACCUAUGGAUGGGAAAUUUCCCCACUCUGGAUUACGCUGUAGUGCAAAAAGAAUUCCUGGCUCUGUGUUGCACAGCUGAUUCAUGCCAUGGCUCCGUGUUGCACAGCUGAUUCAUGCCAUGGCUCCAUGUUGCACAGCUGAUUCAUGCCAUUUUGUUGUUGCUUUAUGGAGUUAAGGAACAUGA
rfam:Mus musculus chromosome 6, GRC primary reference assembly.